GUCCACGCCGUAAACGAUGAUCACUCGUCAUUGGCGAUACACAGUCAGUGACCUAGCGAAAGCGUUAAGUGAUCCACCUGGGGAGUACGAUCGCAAGAUUGAAACUCAAAGGAAUUGACGGGGCCGGCACAAGCGGUGGAGCAUGUGGUUUAAUUUCGAUGAUACGCGAGGAACCUUACCAGGGCGUCGAACGCACGUAGACAGUCGCGGAAACGUGAUCUUCUUCGGACUGCGUGCGAGGUGCUGCAUGGCUGUCGU
rnacentral:rRNA from 1 species